GUCUACGGCCAUGCCACCCUGAACAUGCCCGAUCUCAUCUGAUCUCAGAAGCUAAGCAGGGUCGGGCCUGUUUAGUACUUGGAUGGGAGACCACCUAGGAAUACCAGGUGCUGUAGGCG
rnacentral:rRNA from 1 species